UGGAACACCUGGGGGUCAAUGUCUCCAGUGUAAAGAAUGAUUGACAAGGGGGUGUGGGCUCUGGAGGGGAGGGUCAUAGACGUGUGCAGCAAGCACUCCCACGGUCACAUAGGGAGGGGCCAUAUCUUACCAGGAGACUGUAAUACCAGGUAUUGCCACAGGUCUAUUACAUCUAGUGAUAUCCAGGCAUGAGAGAGAAGAGGCAGAGACUGGGGGCAAAGGGCUUUGGGUGGAAAGAAUAUUCAGAUCAGAGAGCAUUGGGAGCCUCUUAGAGUUGGGGAAGGAACUUUUCCUGCUCCUUCUUCUUUCUCCACCCAGGUCCUCAGAGACCAACCAGGAUGAGCAAACAUGGCCCAGCUCUCCAGUGGUCAGCUUCUAGACCAGCGGUUCUCAGCCUAUGAGCCAGGACCCCUUCAGGAGUCACAUAUCAAAUAUCCUGGAUAUGAUACAUUUACACUGUGAUUCAUAACAGUAGCAAAAUUACCUUUAUGAAGUAGCAACAAAAUAAUUUCAUCGCUGGAGGUAACCACAACGUGAGGAACUGUAUUGAAAGUUGGUAGCUUUAUGAAGGUUGAGAACCACUGUUCUAGACAAUGCAACAUCUCUCUAAGCUCUUUCUGGUGUUAUCGGGCAACUUAUUGCACAAGAGAGACAAAUGAUGUUAUGGGUGUCCUUGUAUGACCCAGAGGAACCCUGCUUUUCUGCGGUCCAGUGAAGUGCAGGCAGCCUGUAGGAACGCAUGUAUAUGACACAGCUUUUCUGUAGGUUGAGACCACCUCUUCUUCCUGGGAACAUCUAGCUGUUACUGGAAACUGUAUACCUGACAGUACUUGGGUAGAAUUGCAUGACACGCUGGUACCUAUGUCUUGAUUUUAUUUUCUUUCCCUGAAUCUGGCAAGGUCUGUCUAAUCCCACAUCUGUAUUUCCCCAGCUUGAACUUGAAGAGCUGAUCCAGACAUGGAUUUUAUUCCAACUAGAGAAUCUCCAGGUCAGUCUUAGAUUCUGGAACAAACAGAAGUCUUACUGCCUUGAAAAGGGGAACCGUCAACCUGAGCAUCAGUGCCGAGCCCCGCUGUUGAAUGCUGUCACUCCAUCCAGAGUUCUGGUUGACCUCAGAAUGGACUUCAGCUCCUACCCUUCACUACCGAGAAAGAAUCUAGUUUGUGAGAUGGCCUUUUUAUUAGUAAUGAAGAUUAUUGGCGAUAUCGGAUCAGCACACCCUUUCCCAGAAACAGCAUGACUUGGAGUCAGCAUUCCUAGGGCCACAGCCACACUUGUUUGUUUCCCAUGUAAACUUUCAAGCUUCAUUCCCCAGAGGUAAGGACCCUCUGUCUGAGCGGUUCUACUGGCAAUAAAGAGAGUUUGGACCCGAC
rnacentral:lncRNA from 1 species